rnacentral:tRNA from 1 species
GGGCCGGUAGCUCAGUUGGUAGAGCAGCUGACUCUUAAUCAGCGGGUCACAGGUUCGAAUCCUGUCCGGCUCACCA